CCAGAUCCUCUGAGUCUGCGUGAGGCCACUCCCACCGUGAACCCGCCUCCAGGGCGGGGCUUCCUCAAACCUUUCCCCCAGGGAGGCCUCCUCGGCCGCUCUGUUGGAGCGGGGUUCAUGCUCUUCUUUGCAAAGAGAGUGGAAGAACCUGGCCGAGGGGAGGGGAGAGAAGCCCUCAUCGGCUUGGAAUGGGAAAACUCACUCUAAUCUGUAUCAACGGUUAAAUCUAACCUUGUAUGAAAAUGGAAGAAACACCUACUGUUACCCGUCUUCGAGCUUCGGAGUCUAAACCUGUACACUAGAGGCGGUGGUAUUAGAAAUCUCAGCGUUAUUGUGAACAUUAAAUGGAAUCGUGAUGGAAAUCAGCUAGCAGUGACUGAAACAAACAGUAUAUGAUGACUGUUACUACUGUGAAUCUUGAUAGGUUUCAGUUAUAGGAAGAAGAAAUUUGGACACAAAAAGAGACACCAGGGAUGUAUGCACCCAGAGAAAAGACCAUGUGAAGACACAGCAAGAAGGCAAUCACCUACAAGCCAAUGUGAGAGGCCUCAGAAGAAAGCAAACCUGCCGACACUUUGAUCUUGGACUUCCAGGCUGCAGAACUGUUAGAAGAUAAAUUUCUGUUGCUUUAGCCUCUCAGUCUAUGAUAUUCUCUUAUAGCAGCCCUAGCAAACUAGUACACUGGCCAUCUAUCAGCAAGGAACUGACACCUGUUAACAGCCAUGGAACUGUACUUGGAACAUUGUACAUGUAACAAGUCUUGACAUGACUGCAGCUCUGGCCAAUAGCUGCACCCAGAUUCUUCAUACUAAAAUUGUGUGAGAUAAUAAAUAUUUGUUGUUUUAAACA